rnacentral:lncRNA from 10 species
CUUUGUUUGCAUAGACGUUCAACUUUGUAACUUCACCUUAGUCUCUGAGGGCCACAGCUUCAUUUACAUGAGGUGAACACAAAGUGGCCAAUGGGAAAUCUCUAGGGGGUAUUUGGACCUGAGAAGAUUCUAUAUCCAGGCCCUUGAGCUGCUGCCGCUGCCGGCUCCCACACUGUGGAGUGUACUUUCACUUUCAAUAAGUCUCUGCUUUUGUUGUAUCAUUCUUUCCUUGCUUUGCUGUGUGUUUUGUCCAAUUCUUUGUUCAAAAUGCCAAGAACCUGGCCAACUUGGAGUCAAGACCCUCUACCGACUAUCCAGCUGUGCUGAUUCCCUCAGUGAUCUGGAGGGGAUGAGGCAGGCGUUGGCCUCUUGGGCAAUGUCUUGUGAGUCUGAAGAAACCAGGCACUUACUUCACCCUUAUUUUUCCCCAUGGGAGAAAACUACAGGCUGAGGAGGUCUCUCUUGACAUUAAGCUGUGCUGCCUUGAGGGAGAGAUGAUGCAGAACAAAGAAGAAAAAAUUUCUUUUAAAGAAAGGCCAAAGAAUUAUUAUAGAUCUUUUCUUUCGACAUUCCUAAACAAGAACAGGCCUAGAUGGUGUCAUUUUCAAUUCUUGUCCUAACUGGUCAGUGACCAAAACCUCUAAAAAUUCACAAAGAAGCUCAUGAGGAGGUCCGAGGCUGCCCAAAAGGCAUUUGGUCUCUGGCCCAGGAGCUCAGGACAGACCUAAGGUUUGAGUGAAAUCUGGGCUGGAGUAAACCUUAGCAACCUGUCAUUACCUACAGGGCAAUAAGCUGGCUCCCUUCCAGUGGCUUCUGUUUUGUAUGUUCAUCUCUGCCCAGAGCUCUGUCAUCUAGUGUUGCACUGUUCAGUAUGGGAACCAUGAGCCAAAACUGACUGCUGAGUAUUUGAAAUGGGACUAACACUGAGAUGUGCUGUCGAUGUGAAAUACACACCAGAUUUCAAAGACUUAGUAUGGAAAAAAAAAGAAAAAAAAAACCUCAUUAAUAUUUGUUAUGUUGAUUGCAUUUUGAAAUGAUAAUAUUUUGGAUAUAGUAGGUUAAAAUAUUAUUAAAAUUAAUUUUACUGUUUUCUUUUUACUUUUUUGCUUGUGGCCACUAAACAUCUUCAAGUUACAUGUAGCUCACAUUGUAUUUCUAUUGGAAAGGCCAUUUUAAUAGAAUUAUGCCCUUAGUUUCCCAGAUUCUCCCAAUAAGUUCAAAGCAUUCAGUAACGCAGGAACAUUUUGUUGAACACCCUGUGAUUAGACAUAUAACCCUGUUGUUCAUAGGAUCUGAUUGUAUCAUUUCUAUUUACAUUUGUCCUACAAUUUGCAAUUGUCUUGCAAAUCUAAUGCCGGUGCAAGAUGAUUUCCAUUUUAUCCUAAUAAAACCUCAAUUUAGGUAUAGAAUGAACAAAUAAAUGCAGAUGGGGAAAAGGAAGGAAAGAUGCACUGUGUUGGGAAAUUUCUGCUCAAAACACCUCUUCAGAGUGUGUAUUAUUUUCUCUGUUUUUACAGAGAGGAAUAAUGGCUCAGAGAGGUUAAGUAACUGUCUAAAAGUAAUACAGCUCUUACCUAUCAGAGGAUUCAAAAGGCCUAACAAACUCCAAAGCAGAAACUCUUUCUCAAAAUCUCAAUGCUCCUCUGUUACUGACAAAUUUGAGAAAAUUAAAUUGUAGCAAUCAAUUUUGGAGAUCGUUCUUUUCUUUGUUUUUAAUGUAUACUUUAAUAAGUAUAAAGAAUAUAAACAAGUAAACCUGUGGAGAAGCUGACAAAAAUACAUAAAUUAGGAUUUACACUGCUCUAAUGUAAAAAAAUAUAAAUUUUCUAUUUUUUUGCAGAAUAUUUAUUAAUGUGGUUUAAUGUACAAUUUCUUGUUUGUCAUUUGGAAGUCACUUAUUAUAAAGACAAUUUUUUUGUCUUAUGACAAACAGCAGUCCACAUUGGAUAAAUUUGAUUUCUUCUUGAGACAUA